AAGUACACAGCAAAAUCACCAGUGUUAAAUUUUCAGGGAUGGUGUUAAAUACACAGUGUUGAUGCUGUUUUAACACUAUCUGGUAAUAAAAUAACACUGCCAUUGCUAGGCCAGUGUUAUAUCCACGACAGUGUCAGUGUAAAACAAGGGUGUUAUCAGAUUUCACUCUGAGCGGUGUAAAUCAAGCCACGCCUCCACUAAACAUUUCCUGUCAGAGAUUUUACCGCCAUUUUCUUUCAAAGGAGGACUGAAGAGAGCAGGUAAAUCUCAUAAUAUUCACUUGGUUUAGCUAAAUUAAACUGUUAUUUCUCUGUCUGACUCUACGCAGCCAUAUGCCAAAAAACCUAAAUAAGAUAUUUUUCCCAUUUUAUUUCCCCUUUGUUCGUUAUUUGGUUCAGUUUAAUCAGAGCUACCUUGUGUUACGUUGUUCCCUUGUUAGUUUAGUAUAAAGUUAAACUGCUAGCUAAAAGUUUUAACCAAGAAGGAUAAUAGGAGAUAUGAACGAAAGAAUUGAACCAUGAUAAAACGCGACAUGCACUACAAAUUGAAGGUAUGAAAUUAAGUUAAAUGAAGCUCGUUUAUUCACCAUAUGAUGCUCGUUAUGAGGUAAUCGCUAGAUACCGUGAGUUAACGAGGUCGUUUACAUGCACGUGAGUGCACGGAUAUCGGUUAAUUAUUCAAAUUACUGAAAAACACGGAGAAAACCGCAACCGCAUUGCCAUGUGUUUUUCUAAGAUGUAUGCAAACAGGGGAAAUAUCACCAAACCAACAAUUCAUUUUACCUCAGAAUAUAUCAUCAUUUGUAUGCACAGAUUGCUGGAUUGGAUGCUUUGUAUGUUGUAAGCUUUUCGUGGCGCUAGAUGUCAGACAGAUGCAAAUGGCAAAUACAUACGAAAGUGUAAAACGUGUAUGGCGAACAUUUGUUUUUCUGUCAUUAUAGAUGCUAGUUUGGUGAAAGUACACACUGAGUGCUUCAAAUCAUUCAGAAGAGAUGCUGUUUUUAGGGCAGUUUAUAAGACCUGCAUGGAUGACUUCCAAUGAGAAACGACUGCUAAUACUUAUAUAAAUUCAUUACAGAAGGUAAGUUUAUAUAUUUAUACAUAUAAAUCAUUUUAUUUAACAUAACUGAACAGUUAACCAAUCUUUUUAGUAUAGUUUUGUACAUAUUAUGGUUAUUAAUCUGGCAAGAAAGUCACAUGACCUGCUGCCAACUUUAAUAAAAAUAUAUUAUCUUCUCAUACAUCGUUUUGCUAUUGAUAUCAUAUUAAAUAGCAAUCAAAUUGAUUACUAUCUUGAAAAUGUAUAAAUGAAGAUUCAUAUUGUCUUGAGUGCUUUUUUAAUAUAAAAAGAAUGUUGAGUUUUCAGAGUCUUUAUUGUCAUUUUUUUGUGAUAGGACUCUACCAGACUAUAUUUGAAUACGGCAUACCCAUGAAUUCUGAACUGUUAUUCCUUAACCCAGUUUGGAGGAUAAGAGCUUACUACUAGUUAUGUGAGUACACACAGUACAUUAAUACUGUACACUGUCUCUAACAUGAUUUAUUAUGCUGAGAUGAUUUUGAUUCAAAUAACGGUUAAAACUGCACCCUUUUUGGUAUUUUCUUGACUCUUUUUGUCUUUGAAAAUCUGCAGAAAUAUGCUGAGGCGAUGUAUUGCAAAAUAGCCAACAUACAACAAUUAAAUGAUAAUUGCAGACUACAUCCUGAUGAAGAUAUGGAUGACCCCGUGUCUGGUCAACAGGAGUUUAAAUAUGGACGGGACAGUUAUGUGCCAGCUCUUCCCUGACUCAUUUGUGAAAGGAGGAAAGACUGGAGAGGGUCAAUGUGCAACUGAAGCUACUGAUUGUUCUGUGUGAUGAGCAUCAAUCCAUGCUUUGAGGGGGAUGAAUCAGCACAGCCCUGCCUGCUCUGCGUUGGGAACAGAAUUUUUGCAUCAUUCUGGGCCAAAAAGCCCUGCAUGAUGAAGACCACUGAUGCAGCCUUCCACUACAUCAUGAGUAAAACAACUACAGAACUAAAUACCAGGUUGGAACGUGUUUAAAAAAAUGAAACGUUGCUUGAAUUGAAAUGUCUGUUUUGUUAUGGAAAAAUCUUUAGUAUUGUGAAGGAUAAGCAUUUCUGCUUGCCAGUAAGGUAAUUGCGAUGUAUUUUAAUGUUCAAGUUUUGAGUAGGGUGGCUAAUUUUUUUAACUCUCAUUUGAUUUAUUAAAGACUUUAUAAUAAGUGGUUUUCAUGUCACUGCGCUGUGGUAUAAGAUAACUUUCAUGAUUAUUCCAUACUGUAUUCUGUUUCUAAU